rnacentral:rRNA from 1 species
AACGUAGGAGACAAGCGUUAUCCGGAAUUACUGGGCGUAAAGGGCGUGUAGGCGGUUUGUUAAGUCUGGCGUGAAAGCUCUCGGCUAAACCGGGAGAGGUCGUUGGAUACUGGCAAACUAGAGGAUGGUAGAGGAAUGUGGAAUUCCGGGUGUAGUGGUGAAAUGCGUAGAGAUCCGGAGGAACCCCAGAGGCGAAGGCGGCAUUCUGGCUCGCAACUGACGCUCAGACACGACAGCAUGGGGAGCGAACGGG